rnacentral:rRNA from 1 species
GACGAACGCUGGCGGCGUGCUUAACACAUGCAAGUCGAACGGAAAGGCCCUGCUUUUGUGGGGUGCUCGAGUGGCGAACGGGUGAGUAACAAGUGAGUAACCUGCCCUUGCCUUUGGGAUAACUUCAGGAAACUGGGGCUAAUACCGGAUAGGCGCUCCUGCUGCAUGGUGGGGGUUGGAAAGUUUCGGCGGUUGGGGAUGGACUCGCGGCUUAUCAGCUUGUUGGUGGGGUAGUGGCUUACCAAGGCUUUGACGGGUAGCCGGCCUGAGAGGGUGACCGGCCACAUUGGGACUGAGAUACGGCCCAGACUCCUACGGGAGGCAGCAGUGGGGAAUAUUGCACAAUGGGCGGAAGCCGGAUGCAGCAACGCCGCGUGCGGGAUGACGGCCUUCGGGUUGUAAACCGCUUUCGCCUGUGACGAAGCGUGAGUGACGGUAAUGGGUAAAGAAGCACCGGCUAACUACGUG